AGAGAGGUAGUGACAAGAAAUAACAGUACAAGGCAGUUAAAAUGCUUUGUAAUUGGAAUGAUAGAAAUUUAAAUACUUUUUAAAGUAUCAAUUGGAGGGCAAGUCUGGUGCCAGCAGCCGCGGUAAUUCCAGCUCCAAUAGCGUAUAUUAAAAUUGUUGCAGUUAAAAAGCUCGUAGUUGAAUUUUUGCUAAAAAUAACCGGUCUGCUUUUAUUAAUAAAAGUGGUAUCUUGGUGUGUUUCUAGCAAUAAUGUCUUUUGAAAUGUUUUUUACUUCAAUGUAAAAAGCAAUUUUCA
rnacentral:rRNA from 1 species